rnacentral:rRNA from 1 species
AUACGGAGGGGGCUAGCGUUGUUCGGAUUUACUGGGCGUAAAGCGCACGUAGGCGGUUUAUCAAGUUAGGCGUGAAAGCCCCGGGCUCAACCCGGGAACUGCGCUUAUUACUGAUAGACUAGAGAGCGGGAGAGGGUAGCGGAAUUCCCAGUGUAGAGGUGAAAUUCGUAGAUAUUGGGAAGAACACCAGUUGCGAAGGCGGCCACCUGGACCGGUACUGACGCUGAGGUGCGAAAGCGUGGGGAGCAAACAGGAUUAGAAACCCCGGUAGUCC